rnacentral:rRNA from 1 species
CUACGGGUUGCUGCAGUGGGGAAUAUUGGACAAUGGGGGAAACCCUGAUCCAGCAAUGCCGCGUGUGUGAAGAAGGCCUGCGGGUUGUAAAGCACUUUCGGUUGGGAGGACUGCUUCUAGCACUAAUAUUGUUGGAAGUUGACGUUACCUUCAGAAGAAGCACUGGCUAACUCCGUGCCAGCAGCCGCAGUAAUACGGAGGGUGCAAGCGUUAAUCGGAAUUACUGGGCGUAAAGCGCGCGUAGGCGGCUAGAUCAGUCGGGUGUGAAAGCCCCGGGCUUAACCUGGGAACUGCAUCCGAUACUGGCUAGCUUGAGUACAGGAGAGGAGAGUGGAAUUCCACAUGUAGCGGUGAAAUGCGUAGAUAUGUGGAGGAACACCAAUGGCGAAGGCAGCUCUCUGGCCUGAUACUGACGCUGAGGUGCGAAAGCGUGGGGAGCAAACAGGAUUAGAUACCCCCGUAGUC